CACACUCUAUAAAUAUAUGUGAAGAGGGGAAAGGGUUAGGCGGACUCCACCACAUGUGCAAACCCUAGCCGCCGCCUUCCUCAUACCUAGUUGUGAGACCCUCGCUGCGCGCGCGGUGCUAGCAAAUCGGCGCACGAUGUUCCUUUCCCAUACGUGUGGACUACGUGGAGGCGCAGCCGCGACUGCAGCACUAACAGUUUGCGGAGGAGUAGACGGUCGUGAUCAGCUACUUCCUCUCCAUCGACGUGCGCCUACAUUGGAUCGCUGCUACAACUCGUCUUUCAUUAUGUUGCGCGACUAGUGAGGCGUUUUGGGUGGCCUGCCGAUUACAAGACAAACCCUAGGAUCCCCGGGAGGCCAGAUCUAGGUGCCGUCGGCAAAUGCCGCCGUCUCUGCGCACACGCGGACCGUCCUGCUCGGCGCAGAGAAGACUCCGCUCCUACCAUAGGUCGUGGACUGUCCGGCUCUAGGUCGUGGACCGUCCGCGCUGCCGCAGAGAACACCAUCUCCGAUACACCUCGCAGUGAUUGGUGCCUAAAUCGGUACCUACACUAUCCAAAAUAAAAUGAGCAUUGAACAAUGUUUUCUAAGGUCUUUGAAUGAAUCCUUCUAUAAGAUCUUUUCUUUGCUGUGGAAAAAUGGUCCGAGUUGUUGAAGGAGGGCGAUGCCGAAUUCAUGGAAGAAAUUAUCAAGACAGUGGAGUGGUUACAAGACUUCUCGCGGCAAACUGAAGACAUGGAGGUGGAAGGAUUCCUCUGAGUUUGGCGUGGUGGUGUUGCUUUCCGAAGUCGCUAGAUUUGUUUUCUGAUGGUCUUUAGAAUGUUGUAGUUUUCUUAGUUUUGUAUCCUUGUGUUGCGUGUUGAUCCUUUUGGAGUGUCAGAUUUGUCUGUCAUCAAUGGUCGUUCGUUUUCACGUUGUUUUGUAA